GGCUCAGAACGAACGCUGGCGGCGCGCUUAAUACAUGCAAGUCGAGCGAGAACCGGAGCUUCGGCUCCGGGGACAGCGGCGAACGGGUGAGUAACACGUGGGUAACCUGCCCUCGGCACCGGGAUAGCCCGGGGAAACCCGGAUUAAUACCGGAUGGCCCUUUCGGUCUUUGGACCGGUCGGGAAAGGUAGCUUCGGCCUCCGGCCGAGGAGGAGCCCGCGGCGGAUUAGCUUGUUGGUGGGGUAACGGCUCACCAAGGCAACGAUGGGUAGCUGGUCUGAGAGGACGAUCAGCCACACUGGGACUGAGACACGGCCCAGACUCCUACGGGAGGCAGCAGUGGGAUCU
rnacentral:rRNA from 1 species